CAUUUUCGGCCCUAGGUGCGAAAUAUACUAUUUCCUGUAUUACUUACACGUAUUUUAUACUGUCAUGUUUAAUAGGGUUUUCUUUUUUAGAAACGCAAAGUGCCAGUAAUAUCUGCACCCUCAUUACUGCUGAGUAACCGAGAAAGCUUUCCAAAAGACAAAGUUGUUCAACGACAACAAAACAUGUCACAAAGUCCGCAUCGUAGUCAGCUCAUCGUGUGUGUUGGUUUUCAUACUGCAUUUAAGAAACAUUCUAAUAAAAAUAUCAAAUAAUAACAUUGUUAUUAACGAAGACAUUAUUAUAAUCUGUUUAUAAAAUGUAAUCUAUUCUAUUUUGUACUUUACAAGAUACCUAUAAUCCUAUUUGUGUUCAUUUGGGCUUUAAAUAACAACGUUAAAUUCAAAAUUGUAGUACAUUUUUUUGUACUCAAAAUAGUGUGUGAAUUAACUUAUCAUUUACAUAACCUUUAGACUGUGUAUUCCAAUUGAGGUUUAGAACAGUUUGGGGUGAAUGCCUGUUGUUUUUACUUUAAUCGUAUUUGUAUAUGAAUAAAUAAAUAAAUAAAU